CGUAGGUAAUCUACCUUUGGAUUGGGAAUAACAACCGGAAACGGUUGCUAAUACCGAAUAAUGCAGCGGCACCUAAUGGUGACAGUUGUUAAAGCGGGGGAUCGCAAGACCUCGCGUCUAAAGAGGAGCCUGCGGCAGAUUAGCUAGUUGGUAAGGUAACGGCUUACCAAGGCGAUGAUCUGUAGCCGGCCUGAGAGGGCGGUCGGCCACACUGACACUGACAUACGGGUCAGACUCCUACGGGAGGCAGCAGUCGGGAAUUUUGGGCAAUGGGCGAAAGCCUGACCCAGCAACGCCGCGUGAAGGAUGAAAUCCCUCGGGAUGUAAACUUUGCAAGAACGGGAAGAAUAAGUGAGAGUUAAUAUCUUUCACGAUGACGGUACUGUUUGUAAGCUCCGGCUAACUCCGUGCCAGCAGCCGCGGUAAUACGGGGGGAGCAAGCGUUGUUCGGAUUUACUGGGCGUAAAGGGCGCGUAGGCGGCCACCGCAAGUCGACUGUGAAAUCUCCGGGCUUAACCCGGAAAGGUCAGCCGAUACUGCGGGGCUAGAGUGCAGAAGGGGCAACUGGAAUUCUCGGUGUAGCGGUGAAAUGCGUAGAUAUCGAGAGGAACACCUGCGGC
rnacentral:rRNA from 1 species